rnacentral:pre_miRNA from 1 species
AAAGUACUCCCUCCGUUCGGAAUUACUUGUCUCGAAAAUAGAUGUAUCUAGACGUAUUUUAGUUCUAGAUACAUCCAUUUCCGAGACAAGUAAUUCCGAACGGAGGGAGUAGUAU